UAGCUGGCGGCAGGCCUAACACAUGCAAGUCGAGCGGAUGAGUGGAGCUUGCUCCAUGAUUCAGCGGCGGACGGGUGAGUAAUGCCUAGGAAUCUGCCUGGUAGUGGGGGAUAACGUUUCGAAAGGAACGCUAAUACCGCAUACGUCCUACGGGAGAAAGUGGGGGAUCUUCGGACCUCACGCUAUCAGAUGAGCCUAGGUCGGAUUAGCUAGUUGGUGGGGUAAUGGCCCACCAAGGCGACGAUCCGUAACUGGUCUGAGAGGAUGAUCAGUCACACUGGAACUGAGACACGGUCCAGACUCCUACGGGAGGCAGCAGUGGGGAAUAUUGGACAAUGGGCGAAAGCCUGAUCCAGCCAUGCCGCGUGUGUGAAGAAGGUCUUCGGAUUGUAAAGCACUUUAAGUUGGGAGGAAGGGCAGUAAGUUAAUACCUUGCUGUUUUGACGUUACCAACAGAAUAAGCACCGGCUAACUUCGUGCCAGCAGCCGCGGUAAUACGAAGGGUGCAAGCGUUAAUCGGAAUUACUGGGCGUAAAGCGCGCGUAGGUGGUUCAGCAAGUUGGAUGUGAAAGCCCCGGGCUCAACCUGGGAAUUGCAUCCAAAACUACUGAGCUAGAGUACGGUAGAGGGUGGUGGAAUUUCCUGUGUAGCGGUGAAAUGCGUAGAUAUAGGAAGGAACACCAGUGGCGAAGGCGACCACCUGGACUGAUACUGACACUGAGGUGCGAAAGCGUGGGGAGCAAACAGGAUUAGAUACCCUGGUAGUCCACGCCGUAAACGAUGUCGACUAGCCGUUGGGAUCCUUGAGAUCUUAGUGGCGCAGCUAACGCGAUAAGUCGACCGCCUGGGGAGUACGGCCGCAAGGUUAAAACUCAAAUGAAUUGACGGAAGGGCGA
rnacentral:rRNA from 1 species